rnacentral:lncRNA from 1 species
CUGUCUCUUCUUUAACUGAGACAACGAGCUGUGUUCUCUGUCUGGUUCUCCAAUAGCUACAACAGUGGAGCCUUCAGCUAGCGGGAAAAGAAAAUCCCAAGGCCUUUGAUCUCUAGUCCCAUCACCUUGAUUGGUCUCCAUGGCAACUACCAUACCGAGGAAUAAUUUGGUGAUCCUGAAUUUAAUGGAAUCUCUCCUCACCCCCACCCCAGAUUGGGUGGGCAAAAAAAAAUCACAAGGUUGAGCAAAGACACUGAGACACCUGCUGGUGUGGGGAAAUGGAGGAAACCCAGGCUCUUGUUCAGCCCGAGUUGCACACGCUCCUACGGUGGCC